AGCCCCUAAGCCCCGCCCCCUCGCGGGCGGCCUGCGGGCCCCGCUGGCGGCGGGAGCAGCCGUUUGUCGCUGAGGCGACUGAGGCGGCGAGAGGGCCCUGAUCCAAGACCGGGAAUUCCGUAGGGUUUAGCUGUAAUGAAGUGCCUCGACACCUCUGCAGGCCAAAGGUUUAACGCCGUUGUGAAGAUCUGAAUAGGUUUCCUCGUGUCUCAGGGGUGCCAUAACGGACAGUUGAAGGUUUUUGGUGUGUGACUCCCGGGCAGCAGCACAUUGUGUGUGGAAACUGGUGUCUCUGAGCAGAGAGGAAAGGUUGGGUGGUGUCACGUCAAUUCAAGGAUAGAGGAUUAGUUGGGAAAGACUGGAAUGAGGAGAUCCGGCCUCUCAAGAGUGUUGUUAUGCAUAGUCAUGAUCUGCCUGAAGACUCCCAAAAAUACCUUGUAUCCAAGGCAGAAAUGUCUUUUCAGUCCUAGACAAAUGUGGAAAAGCCUGAAGAUUUUGAACCCAGGUUUUGGAACAAGGCUGGAGUACUCAGUCUGGAAGACAUAUCUGUAUACGUGCAUUUCAAACAUAUACAGAUGCUAUGAAAGUGCGGCACAUUUGUGACUCUUUGGAAGAGUUUGAAGAACGUGUUCUUAUCCAUGAUGAAUGACCCAAUUUAAAUGGAGCUAUCGAAACUAACUCAAAUAUCCUUCAUUCUUCCCUCACGCUGUCUUAUACUACAAAGAUGCAUUUUUCUGAAUAUCCUAAAGCUGUGGGGAGGGAAUUCCUUGAGAAAGCAGGAACAAUAUCUUUAAUCACUCAAGCAAAGAGUGGACUUAAAUGCCCAUCAUCUGCAUCUUUGGUAAUCACAGUAAACAUUGUACAACCACUAGCGUCAGAAAGACGGACACUUCAUUCUCCUUUACAGAGAGAUUGAUAUACUGCGUAUGCUCUGAACAUGCCUCUGGAAUUGAGGUCUUAAGGUAACAAGCUUGGGACUGGAUGAACACCUAAUCUGGUUUAUGCAUGAAACAGGUGCUGAGCUUCUCAGAGCUGUCAGAAGUACAUUUCUUCUGAGAAUUCCCAGGUGCAGCAUUCUAGGCAUCAGGUGAACUCUGGUAUCAGAAACUUGGCCAGCUGCACAGUUUAUGUCCCUCUGGAUUGAACACAUACCAAAUGGUGAUGUUGCUGGGCCACACUUGGAAUUAACACACCUAACGUGGCAGAUGGGACUCAUCUACAGUGAGACUCAGGC